rnacentral:tRNA from 1 species
GAAGCGAUAGCUCAGCUGGUAGAGCAGCACACUUUUAAUGUGCGGGCCCUGGGUUCGAAUCCCAGUCGCUUCACCA